rnacentral:rRNA from 1 species
CGCGGCCUAUCAGCUUGUUGGUGGGGUAACGGCCCACCAAGGCGACGACGGAUAGCUGGUCUGAGAGGACGAUCAGCCACACUGGGACUGAGACACGGCCCAGACUCCUACGGGAGGCAGCAGUGGGGAAUCUUGCGCAAUGGGGGAAACCCUGACGCAGCGACGCCGCGUGCGGGAUGAAGGCCUUCGGGUUGUAAACCGCUUUCAGCAGGGACGAAAUUGACGGUACCUGCAGAAGAAGGCCCGGCCAACUACGUGCCAGCAGCCGCGGUAAUACGUAGGGGCCUAGCGUUGUCCGGAUUUAUUGGGCGUAAAGAGCUCGUAGGCGGUUCGGCAAGUCGGAUGUGAAAUCUCCACGCUUAACGUGGAGGGGCCAUUCGAAACUGCCGUGACUCGAGUCCGGUAGGGGAGUGUGGAAUUCCUGGUGUAGCGGUGAAAUGCGCAGAUAUCAGGAGGAACACCAGUAGCGAAGGCGGCACUCUGGGCCGGUACUGACGCUGAGGAGCGAAAGCGUGGGGAGCGAACAGGAUUAGAUACCCUGGUAGUCCACGCCGUAAACGUUGGGCACUAGGUGUGGGACUCUAUCGACGGGUUCCGUGCCGUAGCUAACGCAUUAAGUGCCCCGCCUGGGGAGUACGG